rnacentral:tRNA from 1 species
GCCUUUGAAAGCUAUCACCCAAAGCAGUGGUCUUGUAAACCUCAGAAGGGCUUGCGCCCCUAAGGCU